UACGUAGGGGUGCAAGCGUUGUCCGGAAUUAUUGGGCGUAAAGAGCUCGUAGGCGGUCUGUCGCGUCGGCUGUGAAAAUCCCGAGGCUCAACCUCGGGUCUGCAGUCGAUACGGGCAAACUAGAGUAUUGCAGGGGAGACUGGAAUUCCUGGUGUAGCGGUGAAAUGCGCAGAUAUCAGGAGGAACACCGGUGGCGAAGGCGGGUCUCUGGGCAAUAACUGACGCUGAGGAGCGAAAGCGUGGGGGAGCGAACAGG
rnacentral:rRNA from 1 species